UAAUGGCAAGUUCUAAUUAUUAAAAAAAUGUCCCAGGAACAAAUAAUGUCAUCAACUAAUUUCAAAAACAUUCCUUGCCAAUACAUCCAUUUAUAUGUGUGUAUAUGUAUACAUACAUAGAUCUGCUUAACAAAUAUUGAUUGUGCACCGAAGAGAUACUGGGUAUUGCACUGGGCAACGAGAAGACAACAGUAAGCCAAAAAAACAGAAAUUCUGCCUUCAUGGCACUUACAGUCCAGGGCAGCAGACACAAAAUAAACAUGAUACUAUGUUGGGUAAGUAAUGAGAAGGGGAAAAAAGCAUGAAGGGAAACACGCUGGGAGUAGGGGAGAGUUUGAUAUUUUAGAUAGGAGGCCAGGAAAAGUAACGAAGACUUGGAACAAAAUGAGGAAGCAAGCUAGUCAUGCAGGUAUUUUGAAGAAAAGCACUUCAGACACAUGGAAAGCCAAGUGCAAAGGCUGUGAGAUGAGGCACGCCUAGAAUGUUCACAAGAGUAUCAAGGAGGAUGGUUUGGCCAGAACAGACCAAAUAAAAUAUUGUGUGGGGACUUGUAGGCCACUGUAAAGACUCUGGCUUUAACUCUAAGACAGGGGUGACCACUGGAAGAUUCAGAGUAGAGAAGUGAUAUAAACUUAUUUUUAUUUUAACAGGAUCAUUCUGCUGCUAUGGGGAAAACAGCCUGAAGAGCAGCAAGGGCUGGAGUGAGAUCAGUGAAGAAGCUAAUUCAAUGAUCUAGGAAACUCUGUUCUUAACACACAGUGACUUACGUGGAAGUGCAACAACUGAUAUACAAGGAGUAGAAUCAUCAAUACUCUGAUCAUCCUCAGAAGACAGACAAAGCCUUUUAUGUGGAGGUUCAGUACUAUCUUCUGAGUCUAUUUCAUCAGCUUCUAAUGAAACAAAACAAAAACCAAAAUCUCAGAGUCUUCAAACAAACAAGUAGAAAACAAAAUCUUCAACAAGUAGUAACUAUGAAACUAUCUUCUUACUGAUUUGCUAAGUUAACUAAACCCAGCUGUGCAAGUGGGACUCAAAAUGACACUGCUUUCUCUCCACCUACUGCAGUACCUCAACUCCUACUCUUAUGAUAAGGAACUAUGAACAAGGUGCCACUUUUAAAAAAUCACACUUUUGUGCUGUCGACUACUUGGCUUUCCAAAUAAAAGACAAGGUUUGGUCAUUUAAUUCACUCACAAAUACUUACUGAAUGUCUACCAUUAGUUAAGUGUGGGACACAGAACAAUGAGAGAUACCCUGACUGUCAAGGCGCUCACAGUAUAGUGGAGGGGAUGACUAAACUAACAAUUUCAAAAUGAUUUAAUAGGAACUAUGAAGGCGGAAUGAAGAGACUGUUAUAUAAGCAGAGAGGCAUUUAAUUUAGACUGGAGGUGCAGAGAGGUUUCCUGGAAAAGGUGUCUUGAACUUCAAAAAGAAACAAAGCCCAGGGAAAAUGGUUAUUAUUGAUAGUAAGAGUAAUAUGUGCAGUGAUACUGAGGUAUGAAAAGCUUGAAGUAUGUUUAGAAAAUAAACAUAGCUGUGGACUGCUGGAUAGAUACACGAAAUGUGGCAGGAAAUGAGGCUGGAAGGAAAGCUGAGUAAGAUGAUGGGAGGCCUAUGUGCCAAAUUAAAGAACCUAAAGUAUAUUCUAGAAGCCAUGGGAAGCUUAACCAAAAACAUACCUUCUAAUACUACUAAGUAUCAUGACCAAUGUCACCAGCAGUUUGAAAGAUAAAUUGGAGGUGGGAGACUGCUUAAAAGGCUACCCAGGUGAGAAAUGAGAAUGUGAACUCAGAAAGGAGGACUUAAGACAGACAGGAAGGGAUGGAUUAAAAAAACAUAAUACUAUCAACAAGUCUUCACAACAGAAUGAAUGGGGGAGAUGAGAAAAGGAUUUAUUUCUACUCACAUUUAUAAUCUGGGAUACUAAGUAAUGGAAUUGAUUGACAAAAGAAAAAAGAGAACUAGAUCUGGGAAUUUUGUUAAAGAAUUCAACUUGGGAUAUGUGAAAUUUAAGGUGCCUAAAAGAAACAGAGAAUUUAGAAUAAAGAAAAAAGUCUGAAUCAUUUUUGUAGCUAGGUAGUAGUUAAACCACAAGUUUGAAUGAAAUAACCCAGGGAUUAAGCAUUGAGUGAAAACAGAAGACAGAACCUAGGCUGAACAAAGAUGAACUUAAAAGCAAAAUAAAUAAUAAACAUAAGGAAUAGGUAGAGAAAUAACAAAAUCAUAAGCCUCAAGGCUGUUCAAUCUUAAUUCAUUACAAAUGGUCAUAUUAAAUCCUAUUCAAACAGUCAUGUAAAAUUCUCUAAUAGGUUCGAUCCAAAAAAAAAAGUUCUAUGCUCGCUGGCAGGAUUACUUCCCCAUUUUCUAAUGUACUAUAUAUACUGCUGGCACCAAGUGGUAUCAAAGAGGAAGUAUAUUAUAGUUAAUCCAUCAUCAUCUUCAGAAGUGCAACAGAUUCUACUUAUAAAAUAGUUAUGAGAUUCAUAAAGGUUAAAAUUUAUGGUAAAUUUAAAAACAUACAAAAGUAUAUUUUAAAAAUAGAAAGAUAAAAAUACAAAUUAAUUUUAUUCAAGAGAUAACCUCCCUUUCCACUGUCCUAGCCUAAACUGUCUGAGUAAUGAGGAUCAUAGGUGACAUGAAAUCCAGAAACCCAGAGAGUCACAAUUGUAUGUAAGCAAGUUUUCCUACCAUUCUGAGGGCAGUGAAGAAUGAGGUUCCCGUCUGUGUCCCGAGUCAAAGUCACAGAGUUCACAGUUUCUACUGUUACUGUGUCAGAAUCCUCUUCAACUGUGCUCAUACUCAAAUCU